GGAUCGAUACUCCGCAUCUCUAGUUUUAAAUUUAUGACAAUACAACUACUGGGUUAUCUCAAAUAUGACUCCUUUGAUAUUAGUAAUAAUUUUUGUAGUGGAUUCUCAAAAGAAACAUUGUGCUGCCACAAUUUGACCAUCCUUGUGUUCUUAAGUAGACAAAGAAGAUGCACUUGUUAAUAUAAUCUUAAUCUCACUUCAGGGUUAUCUCAAAUAUGACUCCUUCGAGGUUGGCAACAACUGAUCUCGUCUCAUCCACUUCGUCGAUCUGCAACCCAUGACGGAUAGCUUCAUUGACAAGCAUAGCGUCCAUCCUGUUAACAGGAGACAUGCGCAUAAUCAUUAAUCGUGUCAUUAAUCACUAACAGUUGUUAUAUUACGAAACUGUGAAACAUAAGUAAAAAGAGGUAUAACUUGAAAUGGUUUGCAGUAGAAAAAUCACUAAUUGUAUACAUGAUGAAUAUUACACUUUGCUAACUAAUAGGCGUGACGAUGGAAUACCCCUGAAGGUCCAUUAGCACAGAGUCAAAUAUUACACGUGUGAAUAUUAAACGUCUGGAUUAAGAAUUGUAAUUUGUCAUAUAAAACUACACUUAUACAAUAUGGAUGGAGUUGAUUUCUAUCUUCACUUUGAAAUCCAAAUUUAUAAAUGACCAAAUUAAUAUAAAUAAAAUCAUUUACUUGACUAUGUUCUCUCUUUCCUAAAUAAAAUAAAUUAUGGGGAUGUAGCUCAGAUGGUAGAACGCUCGCUUAGCAUGCGAGAGGUACGGGGAUCGAUACUCCGUAUCUCUAGUUUUAAAUUUAUGACAAUACAACUACUGGGUUAUCUCAAAUAUGACUCCUUUGAGAUUGGUAAUAACUUUUGUAGUGGAUUCUCAAAAGAAACAUUGUGCUAGACAAAGAAGAUGCACUUGUUAAUAUAAUUUUAAUCUCGGUUCAGGAGACAUACACAUAAUCUUUAAUCAUGUCAUUAAUCACUAACAGUUGUUAUAUUACGAAAUUGUGAAACAUAAGUAAAAAGAGGUAUAACAUGGUUACAUGGUUACGUGAAAUGGUUUACAGUAGAAAAAUGACUGAUUGUAUACAUGAUGAAUAUUACACUUUGCUAACUAAAUACAUGAUGGAGUUGAUUUCUGUUUUCACUUUGAAAUCCAAAUUUACAAAUGACCAAAUUAAUAUAAAUAAAAUCAUUUACUUGACUAUGUUCUCUCUUUCCUAAAUAAAAUAAAUUAUGGGGAUGUAGCUUAGAUGGUAGAGUGCUCGCUUAAUAUGCGAGAGGUAUAGGGAUCGAUACCAUGCAACUCUAAUUUUUAAAUCUAAGACAAUACAACUGAAGGAAUAUGGUGCUGUCACAAUUGAACUAUUUUUUUUAUUCUGAAUAGACAAAGAAGAUGCACUUGUUAACAAAAAUCUCACAAGGUUAUCUCAAAUAUGACUCCUUUGAUAUUGGCAAUAACUUUUGUAGUGGAUUCUCAAAAUAAACAUAGUGCUGCCACAAUUUGACCAUCCUUUUGUUCUUAAGUAGACAAAGAAGAUUCACUUGUUAACAUAAUCUUAAUCUCGCUUCAGGGUUAUCUCAAAUAUGACUCCUUUGAGGUUGGCAACAAUUGAUCUCGUCCCAUCCACUUCAUAGAUCUGCAACCCAUGACGGAUAGCUUCACUAACAACCAUAGCGUCCAUCCUGUUAAUAGGAGACAUGCGCAUAAUCAUUAAUCGUGUCAUCAAUCACUAACAGUUGUUAUAUUACGAAACUGUGAAACACAAGUAGAAAGAGGUAUAAUGUGAAAUGGUUUCUAUAAUUUGCUAACUAAUAUGUGUGACGAUGGAACACCCCUGAAGGUCCACCAUUAGCACAGAGUGUUACACACAUGUGAAUAUUAAACGCUUGGAUUAAGAAUUAUAAUUUGUCAUAUAAAAACUACACUGAUACAAUAUGGAUGGAGUUGAUUUCUAUCGAAAUCCAAAUCUACAAAUGACCAAAUUAAUAUAAAUAAAAUCAUCUACUUGACUAUGUUCUCUCUUUCCUAAAUAAAAUCAUCUAUGGGGAUGUAGCUCAGAUGGUAGAGCGCUCGCUUAGCAUGCGAGAGGUACGGGGAUCGAUACCCCGCAUCUCCAAUUUUAAAUCUAUGACAAUACAACUCAAGAAAUAUGGUGCUGUCAUAAUUUAACUAUCUUUUUUAUUCUGAAUAGACAAAGAAGAUGCAUUUGUUAACAAAAAUCUCACUGGGUUAUCUCAAAUAUGACUCCUUUGAGAUUGGCAAUAACUUUUGUAGUGGAUUCUCAAAAGAAACAUAGUGCUGCCACAAUUUGACCAUCAUUUUGUUCUUAAGUAGACAAAGAAGAUGCACUUGUUAACAUAAUCUUAAUCUCGCUUCAGGGUUAUCUCAAAUAUGACUCCUUCAAGGUUGGCAACAACUGAUCUCGUCCCAUCCACUUCGUCGAUCUGCAACCCAUGACGGAUAGCUUCACUGACAACCAUAGCGUCCAUCCUAUUAAUAGGAGACAUGCGCAUAAUCAUUAAUCGUGUCAUUAAUCACUAACAGUUGUUAUAUUACGAAACUGUGAAACACAAGUAAAAAAAGGUAUAACGUGAAAU
rnacentral:lncRNA from 1 species